AUUGAACGCUGGCGGCAGGCCUAACACAUGCAAGUCGAACGAGUGGCGGACGGGUGAGUAAUGUCUGGGAAACUGCCUGAUGGAGGGGGAUAACUACUGGAAACGGUCGCUAAUACCGCAUACCAUCAGAUGUGCCCAGAUGGGAUUAGCUAGUUGGGGGGGUAACGGCUCACCAAGGCGACGAUCCCUAGCUGGUCUGAGAGGAUGACCAGCAACACUGGAACGGAGAAACGGUCAAGACGCCUAGGGAAGGCAGAAGUGGGAAAUAUGGCAAAAUGGGCGCAAGCCUGAUGCAGCCAGGCGGCGUGUAGGAAGAGGGCCUUCGGGUGGUAAAGUACUUUCAGCGGGGAGGCGUUACCCGAAGAAGAAGCAACGGCUAACUCCGUGCCAGCAGCCGCGGUAAUAC
rnacentral:rRNA from 1 species